GAGUAAUGUCUGGGAAACUGCCUGAUGGAGGGGGAUAACUACUGGAAACGGUGGCUAAUACCGCAUAACGUCGCAAGACCAAAGAGGGGGACCUUCGGGCCUCUUGCCAUCAGAUGUGCCCAGAUGGGAUUAGCUUGUUGGUGAGGUAACGGCUCACCAAGGCGACGAUCCCUAGCUGGUCUGAGAGGAUGACCAGCCACACUGGAACUGAGACACGGUCCAGACUCCUACGGGAGGCAGCAGUGGGGAAUAUUGCACAAUGGGCGCAAGCCUGAUGCAGCCAUGCCGCGUGUAUGAAGAAGGCCUUCGGGUUGUAAAGUACUUUCAGCGGGGAGGAAGGUGU
rnacentral:rRNA from 1 species